UCGGCAGCUCCCGGUCGGGCCGCCUCUUACGUGCUUUCAAAUACUUCCGGGGCUUUCCUUCUGCCACUUGUGGUUAGAAGAUAAUAAUAACAACAGGAAACUCUAACCGUGAACCUCCCUGUACCACCGCUGAUAAUCUCUCGGUGCCUCCGCGGCCAGAGGGCCUCACACACCCCGUCUGUGGUCUCCCGUCGCUCUGGCCUUGUGCCACCGCGUCGGCCUUCUUUCCUGUCGGAGGCCUGUGCCCACCCCAGCGGACUUCUUUUGCAGGGUAGCUGCCUUUUCUGUCUCGUUGCUUUCCAGAUGUCUGUCUUUAGGGCUGUGCUUCUCCCUCUGUGAGCUGGGUCUUACUUGUUGGCUCUGAGCUCCUGACUCAGGUCUCACCUCUGUCAUCGGCUCCAGAACCUGCCCGCCCACCGGCUCUUUAGCUGCCGGGAGCUCUGGUUCAGCAUUCGGUACGCCAGCUUUCUCCGCCAUUCACCAGCUCUUUUAUUUUUAAACCUGUUUCUUCAUGUUUAUUUAUUUGGAGAGAGAGUGAGCGUGAGCAGGGGAGGGGCAGAGAGAAAGGGAGAGACAGAAUCCAACUCAGGCCCCUCACUGUCAGCCCAGAGCCUGACUCGGGGCUUGAGCCCACGAACCGCGAAAUCUUGAUCUGGGCCAAAAUCAAGAGUCGGACGCUUAACCGACUGAGCCAGCCGGUCACCUCUGCCCUUCACCAGCUCUUGAAAAAAGAUUGUUCCUAUUUUUCAGGAGCUCAGACCUUCUGGGUGUCGUAUUUUGCCUGAAAUAACUGACAGUUACACUGUGGACUUUUCUUUCUCCCCUUCUUGCUCUUUUCUGGUGAGUCCCCAGGGGCCAAGGGGCAGCUUUAAGUUCUCAGUGCCCUAGGAUUCUCCGAGGAAAGGUGCAGAAAUGUCUCUUCCCUGGAAGUUGACUGCCAGAAGAUUCCUUUGUGAGAAAACAAGGACUUGACUUUAACGCAACCUGGGGAGUUGGCCGUUAUGUGUGAGAGUUCCUCUGGCUUCUGAUUUCAUACGUGUUCUCAAGAACUUCUGGAGAACCUGGGUCGUGGUUGUUUGACUGGCUGGGAUUUCCCCUGGGAUGCCACGUUAGAAGGGAGCAGAUGGAGAAUUGAAAGAAGGAUAGUUGUAUUGGAAUUUCAGGAUCAUCCUGUUAGUGUCUGUCGGAUGUUGAUGACGAGGCGUGUUGUUGAGUUAAUCACAAUGUAAUGCUUUGUAUCCUGGACUCCCGUGCGCUGCUCCCCUACCCCGCGAGAGCUGUGUGCAUUUGCUGCUUCCGUGAGGAUGAUGAGACUUCGUAAGAACAAAAACAAAAGAGUGGGAGCAGAUGAGCACGUCCCAGCGAGAGGUCCCAGUGAGAGGCCCCAGCGAGAGGUCCCAGGGAGAGGUCCCAGGGAGAGGCCCCAGCGAGAGGUCCCAGGGAGAGGUCCCAGCGAGAGGCCCCAGGGAGAGGUCCCAGCGAGAGGCCCCAGCGAGAGGCCCCAGCGAGAGGUCCCAGCGAGAGGCCCCAGCGAGAGGUCCCAGGGAGAGGCCCCAGG